UGAUGGGAAGAGGGGCACGGAGUGCACCGCGGAAGGUCGAUAACAACGUCAGAAGGUAGAGAGCUGGGCGGCAGUCAGACCAGUUAGACCACUGAAGAGGUCACAUAUGCUGACCAGAAGUCUCUACUAUCCCAGGAAUGAUGUGGUUUUCAGGCACCACCAUGUCUCCUAAGAAAACUUCCUGGACCCUGGGAAAAUUGGGUCUCUGUUUCUCCCCUAUAUUUCAUUUAAACACAAGAAAUGUCACUGAUUCAUUCAGGAAAUCUGUGUUGGACAUGGCUACAUAUAAGACACUCUGUUAGACCCUGAGAACGGUUACUGACAGAUCUGAUCUCAUCCCUGAUGAAACUUGGAGCCUGGUGGACAAGCUUGACAUGUUCAGGAAAUUAAA